UAGUAUAAAAAUAGAUCUCCUUUUACAUGUUCCCACUUCCCAGAUUCCUCUUCUUUCAUUUUUUAUCUCCGCCUCUCUCUCCAGACAAUCUUCUCUCUCUCACAAUCCGAGUUAUCUUCUUUCAUUCGAUUCAUGCUAUGAAACAAUAAAUCGAAUUUCUGUUCUCAGCAAGAAGAAUCGUGAGCCUAGAUCGAAAGCAACCCAAACAACCCAAUCUUUCAUCAGAAAUCAAAAACCUUACCUCAAAAUCGAAACCCAUGUAUCAGCAUAAAUCAAAGGCAAAAAAUUCUAAAUUUUAACCCAAUAUCGACUUAUUUUGCUCCUGAAAUCAUCAGGUAAGGUGUUUCGUUUUCUAUUUUUGGGAUCUCUUCUCCUAGUGUUGAGGAAAUCAUCUGCAACUUCAUAAGGAAGGGUAUAGCCGCAUCAUAGAUUGGUAUGAGUUCCAUAAUUCUCAUGGGUUCAGAAGAAUUGGUUGUUAGAGAAGAUAUUGAGAUGAUACUGAACUUCAUUACUACUGAUUAGAUGUGUUGUACCUCCGCAUGCUGAGAUAGCACUUAGUGGUAUUGAAGUUUUUUCUUCUUUAGGGGUUUAUAUGUACAGUAAUCACGAAAUGGGUGUACGCAGUUGCGUAGUUGUUAAUGGGGAUGUGGUUGCUCAAGUGUCUCAACUUUUUUUAAGGAUGUCGAGGUUUGGGUUGGUCAAGUUGAUCUGGAUGCAUUCAGGCGCGGCAAAGUCGCAUUCUAGUUACAAGCCGCCAAAAUCGGUUGAUGUUUCUAAGGAUGGUGUUAUACAUAAAGAACUGAAUUCCUGACAACCGUCCUGUAUCUAUUAGGUACUAGUUCAUUGAGGGUAGGAACUGAAUUCCUGUCAGCUGCAGAGUCUAUCGGCAUCUGGUUCAUUGUUCAUCACUUAUUAGUUUCUUGUGAUGCUAGUACUACUUUUCAUCUUAAUUAGUAUGGUUUUUGCUCUUCGUUUUUCUAUCUUUUGAUUUGUUCCAGAAACACGAGAGAGAAAUCUAUGGAUACGAAGUUGCAUUAGAAUGUUAAUGCAAUUGUAGAACUUGUCAAAGAUAACCACCUGUUUAGUUGAAAUUCUGCGAUGAGAGUAAACACAAACUUGCGGGAUUUAUUUUGUACGAGGUUUUCUUUUAUUCUUAUUGGGAAGUAUCGUUAUUUGCAUGCCUGUAUUCCAACCAUUAUAAUUUAUAUAUCCUCUCUUAAGCACAACUUGAAUGUAGAACGAUAUGAACUAAACUCUUAGAAGCAGAACCACGUGUAACAACUCUUGGAUGAUAUUGGACUAGAACGAUCUAAACUCUACAAAGGCAAAGCAAAGUUGGAAUGGCUGAAGAGUAAAAUCGUCCAAAGAAAUCACUUCUCCUUGCAUGAACAAUUAAAACCAGAAAAUGAAGCUAGCUGAAAUACUUCUGCUAUGAGGAUCCAAGUGGUGGAGCAGUGAAGAGCUUAAAGGCUCUUAUGAAGCAUAUCGAGAGUAUGGGAAUCCUAUGUUUUUUUUCCUUGUAUUUUCUUUGUAACUUAUGUACAAAAUUUUUAUCAGAGAAACAAAUUUGGAACUUCGUUGUUUGUUGAAGUAGCACACGCAAUUGAGUGUUUAUGUAAUGGGCAUUCAAAUUCU